AGAAUCAACGCUGGCGGCGCGCUUAACACAUGCAAGUCGAACGAGAAAGGGGAGCAAUCCCCGAGUAAAGUGGCGUACGGGUGAGUAACACGUGGAUGAUCUACCUCUUGGCGGGGAAUACCUCUGGGAAACCGGAGACAAUACCGCAUAAGCUCGAAAGAGGAAACCUCGGAAAGGGGGGGCCGAGAGAGGAGUCCGCGGCCGAUUAGCUAGUUGGCAGGGUAACAGCCUACCGAAGGCAAAGAGUCGGUAGCCGGCCUAGAGACGGGCACGACCGGACCCUAC
rnacentral:rRNA from 1 species